rnacentral:tRNA from 1 species
UGGGGCGUCGCCAAGUGGUAAGGCAGCGGGUUUUGGUUCCGCCAUUCGCAGGUUCGAGUCCUUCCGCCCCAG